CACGUAGGGCGCAAGCGUUGUCCGGAAUUAUUGGGCGUAAAGAGCUCGUAGGUGGUUUGUUACGUCUUCUGUGAAAUCCUAGGGCUUAACCCUGGGCUUGCAGUGGAUACGGGCAGACUAGAGGUAGGUAGGGGAGAAUGGAAUUCCUGGUGUAGCGGUGAAAUGCGCAGAUAUCAGGAGGAACACCGGUGGCGAAGGCGGUUCUCUGGGCCUUACCUGACACUGAGGAGCGAAAGCGUGGGGAGCGAACAGG
rnacentral:rRNA from 1 species